rnacentral:rRNA from 1 species
UACGGAGGGUGCAAGCGUUAUCCGGAUUUACUGGGUUUAAAGGGUGCGUAGGUGGCUUUGUAAGUCAGUGGUGAAAUCUCCGAGCUUAACUCGGAAACUGCCAUUGAUACUAUAAGUCUUGAAUUAUCUGGAGGUAAGCGGAAUAUGUCGUGUAGCGGUGAAAUGCUUAGAUAUGACAUAGAACACCAAUGGCGAAGGCAGCUUACUAGGGAUCGAUUGACGCUGAGGCACGAAAGCGUGGGGAGCAAACAGG